GGUCACCCGUGAACCACGGGGGGCUUAACAUCAAGGGCGAUGAUUGCGGGUAAACUCGCAGCAACGCUCAAGCUAAACGGAAGACAGAAA
rnacentral:ncRNA from 1 species